UACAGAGGGGGCAAGCGUUGUUCGGAAUUACUGGGCGUAAAGGGCGCGUAGGCGGCCUGCUAAGUCGAACGUGAAAUCCCUGGGCUCAACCCAGGAACUGCGUCCGAUACUGGUUGGCUUGAAUCCGGGAGAGGGAUGUGGAAUUCCAGGUGUAGCGGUGAAAUGCGUAGAUAUCAGGAAGAACACCAAUGGCGAAAGCAGCUCUCUGGGACGGUACUGACGCUGAGACGCGAAAGCGUGGGGAGCGAACAGG
rnacentral:rRNA from 1 species